rnacentral:rRNA from 1 species
GUCCUGGCAGUAAACGGUGCACGCUUGGUAUGGGGGAAUCGACCCCUCCCGUGCCGGAGCUAACGCGUUAAGCGUGCCGCCUGGGAAGUACGGUCGCAAGAUUAAAACUCAAAGAAAUUGACGGGGACCCGCACAAGCGGUGGAGUAUGUGGCUUAAUUCGAUGCAACGCGAAGAACCUUACCUGGGCUUGACAUGCAUCUCUCAAACGGUGAAAGCCGUGGAUAGGAGCAAUCCUAAAUUUGCACAGGUGUUGCAUGGCUGUCGU